CGUAGGGUGCGAGCGUUGUCCGGAAUUACUGGGCGUAAAGAGCUCGUAGGUGGUCUGUCGCGUCAUUUGUGAAAGCCCGGGGCUUAACUCCGGGUUGGCAGGUGAUACGGGCAUGACUGGAGUACUGUAGGGGAGACUGGAAUUCCUGGUGUAGCGGUGAAAUGCGCAGAUAUCAGGAGGAACACCGGUGGCGAAGGCGGGUCUCUGGGCAGUAACUGACGCUGAGGAGCGAAAGCAUGGGUAGCGAACAGGAUU
rnacentral:rRNA from 1 species